rnacentral:tRNA from 1 species
ACCCAAUUGAUUUUAAACGUAAGUUCCAGAAUUCAAAAUCCCCCGCUUUAACGGGCGUGCCGGUUCGAGUCCGGCCUUGGGUACCA